GAUUGGAGACUGAAAAGAAGAGAAGUUAAGGAACUUGUCUAAGAUUAUCAAGCAAAAAUUUAAAGCUGAAGUUUCAAUAUUUUCUCAGAAAACAAGAAAAGUUAGUGAUCUCAUUAUAGAGGGACUAAAAGCCUGCAAAGUAUAUUUUUGUUAACUCCAAAGGACAGACUUUCAGGGCAGUUUACCAGGAGACAGCUUUUACAAUGAGUGCACUGGCAAGAGGAAGGAAAAAGCCAUUUUUGCUGCUUCAUGUGUUGCCUACACAGAGACUGUUACAGUGGCUUCAGCAGAGUCAGUGGUUGUGUCAACAGCAUCUGGAGCAGAGAGGGCAAGCUUAGUUCAUAUGAAGCAGCAAUAGCAACAGAAGAAAAGGCAGUGACAUCACCCUCAGCUUGUUGGAGGUAAGUGUGACCUUAUGGACUAAGGCAAGUGACCGUAACACUCUCCAAUGGCUGCUCACCAUCCCCUUCAUAAUCUCCAGUCACGAAAAGCAAGAGUGGACUAACAUACAUCCUGUGCCUGGAAAAGCCACAGACACUCAAUGCCAGCCUGGGAGAGCAGCUGUGGUGGCUGAACCCUGAAAAAU
rnacentral:lncRNA from 10 species